UACGUAGGUGGCAAGCGUUGUCCGGAAUUAUUGGGCGUAAAGCGUGCGCAGGCGGUCCUUUAAGUCUGAUGUGAAAGCCCACGGCUCAACCGGGGAGGGUCAUUGGAAACUGGGAAACUUGAGUGCAGAAGAGGAAAGUGGAAUUCCAAGUGUAGCGGUGAAAUGCGUAGAGAUUUGGAGGAACACCAGUGGCGAAGGCGACUUUCUGGUCUGUAACUGACGCUGAGGCGCGAAAGCGUGGGGAGCAAACAGG
rnacentral:rRNA from 1 species